UUAAGCGACUAAGCGUACACGGUGGAUGCCCUGGCAGUCAGAGGCGAUGAAGGACGUGCUAAUCUGCGAAAAGCGUCGGUAAGGUGAUAUGAACCGUUAUAACCGGCGAUGUCCGAAUGGGGAAACCCAGUGCAAUUCGUUGCACUAUCGUUAACUGAAUACAUAGGUUAACGAGGCGAACCGGGGGAACUGAAACAUCUAAGUACCCCGAGGAAAAGAAAUCAACCGAGAUUCCCCCAGUAGCGGCGAGCGAACGGGGAGCAGCCCAGAGUCUGAAUCAGCUUGUGUGUUAGUGGAACGGUCUGGAAAGUCCGACGGUACAGGGUGAUAGUCCCGUACACCAAAAUGCACAGGCUGUGAACUCGAAGAGUAGGGCGGGACACGUGGUAUCCUGUCUGAAUAUGGGGGGACCAUCCUCCAAGGCUAAAUACUCCUGACUGACCGAUAGUGAACCAGUACCGUGAGGGAAAGGCGAAAAGAACCCCGGCGAGGGGAGUGAAAAAGAACCUGAAACCGUGUACGUACAAGCAGUGGGAGCACCUUCGGGUGUGACUGCGUACCUUUUGUAUAAUGGGUCAGCGACUUAUAUUCUGUAGCAAGGUUAACCGUAUAGGGGAGCCGCAGGGAAACCGAGUCUUAACUGGGCGUUAAGUUGCAGGGUAUAGACCCGAAACCCGGUGAUCUAGCCAUGGGCAGGUUGAAGGUUGGGUAACACUAACUGGAGGACCGAACCGACUAAUGUUGAAAAAUUAGCGGAUGACUUGUGGCUGGGGGUGAAAGGCCAAUCAAACCGGGAGAUAGCUGGUUCUCCCCGAAAGCUAUUUAGGUAGCGCCUCGUGAAUUCAUCUUCGGGGUAGAGCACUGUUUCGGCUAGGGGGUCAUCCCGACUUACCAACCCGAUGCAAACUACGAAUACCGAAGAAUGUUAUCACGGGAGACACACGGCGGGUGCUAACGUCCGUCGUGAAGAGGGAAACAACCCAGACCGCCAGCUAAGGUCCCAAAGUCAUGGUUAAGUGGGAAACGAUGUGGGAAGGCACAGACAGCCAGGAUGUUGGCUUAGAAGCAGCCAUCAUUUAAAGAAAGCGUAAUAGCUCACUGGUCGAGUCGGCCUGCGCGGAAGAUGUAACGGGGCUAAACCAUGCACCGAAGCUGCGGCAGCGACACUAUGUGUUGUUGGGUAGGGGAGCGUUCUGUAAGCCUGCGAAGGUGACCUGUGAGGGUUGCUGGAGGUAUCAGAAGUGCGAAUGCUGACAUAAGUAACGAUAAAGCGGGUGAAAAGCCCGCUCGCCGGAAGACCAAGGGUUCCUGUCCAACGUUAAUCGGGGCAGGGUGAGUCGACCCCUAAGGCGAGGCCGAAAGGCGUAGUCGAUGGGAAACAGGUUAAUAUUCCUGUACUUGGUGUUACUGCGAAGGGGGGACGGAGAAGGCUAUGUUAGCCGGGCGACGGUUGUCCCGGUUUAAGCAUGUAGGCUGGUUGUCCAGGCAAAUCCGGAUAAUCAAGGCUGAGGUGUGAUGACGAGGCACUACGGUGCUGAAGUAACAAAUGCCCUGCUUCCAGGAAAAGCCUCUAAGCAUCAGGUAACAUCAAAUCGUACCCCAAACCGACACAGGUGGUCAGGUAGAGAAUACCAAGGCGCUUGAGAGAACUCGGGUGAAGGAACUAGGCAAAAUGGUGCCGUAACUUCGGGAGAAGGCACGCUGGUGUGUAGGUGAAGCCCCUGCGGGUGGAGCUGAGACCAGUCGAAGAUACCAGCUGGCUGCAACUGUUUAUUAAAAACACAGCACUGUGCAAACACGAAAGUGGACGUAUACGGUGUGACGCCUGCCCGGUGCCGGAAGGUUAAUUGAUGGGGUUAUCCGUAAGGAGAAGCUCUUGAUCGAAGCCCCGGUAAACGGCGGCCGUAACUAUAACGGUCCUAAGGUAGCGAAAUUCCUUGUCGGGUAAGUUCCGACCUGCACGAAUGGCGUAAUGAUGGCCAGGCUGUCUCCACCCGAGACUCAGUGAAAUUGAACUCGCUGUGAAGAUGCAGUGUACCCGCGGCAAGACGGAAAGACCCCGUGAACCUUUACUAUAGCUUGACACUGAACAUUGAGCCUUGAUGUGUAGGAUAGGUGGGAGGCUUUGAAGCGUGGACGCCAGUCUGCGUGGAGCCAACCUUGAAAUACCACCCUUUAAUGUUUGAUGUUCUAACGUUGGCCCCUGACCGGGGUUGCGGACAGUGUCUGGUGGGUAGUUUGACUGGGGCGGUCUCCUCCCAAAGCGUAACGGAGGAGCACGAAGGUUAGCUAAUCCUGGUCGGACAUCAGGAGGUUAGUGCAAUGGCAUAAGCUAGCUUGACUGCGAGCGUGACGGCGCGAGCAGGUGCGAAAGCAGGUCAUAGUGAUCCGGUGGUUCUGAAUGGAAGGGCCAUCGCUCAACGGAUAAAAGGUACUCCGGGGAUAACAGGCUGAUACCGCCCAAGAGUUCAUAUCGACGGCGGUGUUUGGCACCUCGAUGUCGGCUCAUCACAUCCUGGGGCUGAAGUAGGUCCCAAGGGUAUGGCUGUUCGCCAUUUAAAGUGGUACGCGAGCUGGGUUUAGAACGUCGUGAGACAGUUCGGUCCCUAUCUGCCGUGGGCGCUGGAGAAUUGAGGGGGGCUGCUCCUAGUACGAGAGGACCGGAGUGGACGCAUCACUGGUGUUCGGGUUGUCAUGCCAAUGGCACUGCCCGGUAGCUAAAUGCGGAAGAGAUAAGUGCUGAAAGCAUCUAAGCACGAAACUUGCCCCGAGAUGAGUUCUCCCUGAGACUUUAAGUCUCCUGAAGGAACGUUAAAGACGAUGACGUUGAUAGGCCGGGUGUGUAAGCGCAGCGAUGCGUUGAGCUAACCGGUACUAAUGAACCGUGAGGCUUAACCU
rnacentral:rRNA from 1 species